GUUUAGGAAUUGCCCCUCUUUUUUUAACUUGUAUUUGUUUAGGUGAUGUUUUCCGUGCCUUUUUAUUCUGCAUUUGAAAGUGAUAAACACCCAAUCACUGACAUUUUGAAUCAACAGUAAAUUGGAAUUUAUCAAAAUGGCCAGACUUUGCAUUCAGUCAGGGUUGUUCAAAGUGAAAAAUCAAAGUGAAUUUAAAAGGAUUGGCCAAAGUAUCUGAACUGAAAGCAUAGCUGACUUACGAUGACCUUAGCUAAUCUAAUGCUACCCCAUAGGGAAGCAUUGUAGGCUUGAGAGCAUGCACAGCAAAAUGCCAAGCUACACCAAUCAAAGGCUCAUUAAACAACGAGUCAAACUCACCAGACGUGCC